rnacentral:rRNA from 1 species
GACGAACGCUGGCGGCGUGCCUAAUACAUGCAAGUAGAACGCACAGUUUAUACCGUAGCUUGCUACACCAUAGACUGUGAGUUGCGAACGGGUGAGUAACGCGUAGGUAACCUGCCUGGUAGCGGGGGAUAACUAUUGGAAACGAUAGCUAAUACCGCAUAAUAUUAAUUAUUGCAUGAUAAUUAAUUGAAAGGUGCAAUUGCACCACUACCAGAUGGACCUGCGUUGUAUUAGCUAGUAGGUGAGGUAACGGCUCACCUAGGCGACGAUACAUAGCCGACCUGAGAGGGUGAUCGGCCACACUGGGACUGGGACACGGCCCAGACUCCUACGGGAGGCAGCAGUAGGGGAUCUUCGGCAAUGGACGAAAGUCUGACCGAGCAACGCCGCGUGAGUGAAGAAGGUUUUCGGAUCGUAAAGCUCUGUUGUAAGAGAAGAACGGGUGUGAGAGUGGAAAGUUCACACUGUGACGGUAUCUUACCAGAAAGGGACGGCUAACUACGUG